rnacentral:rRNA from 1 species
AUUGAACGCUGGCGGCAGGCCUAACACAUGCAAGUCGAACGGUAACAGGAAGCAGCUUGCUGCUUUGCUGACGAGUGGCGGACGGGUGAGUAAUGUCUGGGAAACUGCCCGAUGGAGGGGGAUAACUACUGGAAACGGUAGCUAAUACCGCAUAACGUCGCAAGACCAAAGAGGGGGACCUUAGGGCCUCUUGCCAUCGGAUGUGCCCAGAUGGGAUUAGCUAGUAGGUGGGGUAACGGCUCACCUAGGCGACGAUCCCUAGCUGGUCUGAGAGGAUGACCAGCCACACUGGAACUGAGACACGGUCCAGACUCCUACGGGAGGCAGCAGUGGGGAAUAUUGCACAAUGGGCGCAAGCCUGAUGCAGCCAUGCCGCGUGUAUGAAGAAGGCCUUCGGGUUGAAAAGUACUUUCAGCGGGGAGGAAGGGAGUAAAGUUAAUACCUUUGCUCAUUGACGUUACCCGCAGAAGAAGCACCGGCUAACUCCGUG